rnacentral:rRNA from 1 species
UACGUAGGGUCCGAGCGUUGUCCGGAAUUACUGGGCGUAAAGAGCUCGUAGGCGGUUUGUCGCGUCUGCUGUGAAAACCCGAGGCUCAACCUCCGGCCUGCAGUGGGUACGGGCAAACUAGAGUGCGGUAGGGGAGAUUGGAAUUCCUGGUGUAGCGGUGGAAUGCGCAGAUAUCAGGAGGAACACCUGCGGCGAAGGCGGGUUGCUGGGCUGACACUGACGCUGAGGCGCGAAAGCUAGGGGAGCGAACGGG